AUUGAACGCUGGCGGAAUGCUUUACACAUGCAAGUCGAACGGCAGCACGGGGGCAACCCUGGUGGCGAGUGGCGAACGGGUGAGUAAUACAUCGGAACGUGCCCAGUCGUGGGGGAUAACGUAGCGAAAGUUACGCUAAUACCGCAUACGAUCUACGGAUGAAAGCGGGGGACCGUAAGGCCUCGCGCGAUUGGAGCGGCCGAUGUCAGAUUGAGGUAGUUGGUGAGGUAAAGGCUCACCAAGCCGAUGAUCUGUAGCUGGUCUGAGAGGACGACCAGCGACACUGGGACUGAGACACGGCCCAGAGUCCUACGGGAGGAAGCAGUGGGGAAUUUCGGACAAUGGGCGCAAGCCUGAUCCAGCCAUUCCGCGUGCAGGACGAAGACCUUCGGGUUGUAAACUGCUUUUGUACGGAACGAAAAGGCUCUGGUUAAUACCUGGGGCUCAUGACGGUACCGUAAGAAUAAGCACCGGCUAACUACGUGCCAGCAGCCGCGGUAA
rnacentral:rRNA from 1 species